GCUUAGUUGGUAAAGCACAAAGCUCUUAACCUUAUGGACAUGGGUUCAAGCCCCAU
rnacentral:tRNA from 1 species